GUGGGGGCAGUCAGAGGGCUGAGCAGGCUCUUGCUGCAGGUUGAAGGUAGCUCUUGGGGCGUGGAGCACGUGCGGACUAGGGUGAGGCAAGGACACCUUGUCCUCCCUUGAAGGUGUGAGCUAGUGUUUGUAUCUAGCGUUGCUAUGGUGAGGGUGGGCGGGGCUUAGUUUGACAGCCGGGAGCUCUUGCAAUGGCAAGAAUCCCUCAGCCCAUGGCCCCGCCCCUGAGCUGUCAGAGUUCUGUCUUCUGUCCUGCCUGGGCCUGGCCAGUCAGAAGGGGAACUGCUGGGGGGCAAGUUUCUUUUUUCUUUUUUUUUUUUUUUUAAAGAGAGAGUGGGGGAGAGAGAGAGAGAGAGAGAGAGAGAGAAUUUUUUUUUUAAUAUUUAUUUUUUAGUUCUGGGCUGACACAACAUCUUUGUUUGUACGUGGUGCUGAGGAUCGAACCCGGGCCGCAUGCAUGCCAGGGGAGCGCGCUACCGCUUGAGCCACAUCCCCAGCCCCGAUGCGGGGGGCAGAAGGCCUUCUUCGGCUGCUCACGCAGCUUCAGGCGAAGUGGCUGUCAGACCUGUUGCCAGGGCGCGGCUGAGGAAGGAAUGAGUGGAGAACAGGCGAGCACGUGAGGAAAACCGUCAAUACUGGGCAAGAGGCAGGCUUGCGCCAGCAAAGGACGAGCGCGUGCAAAUUCCGCGUGCGUGUGCAAAGUCAGCAUGCACGUGCAAAGUCUGCAUGCACGUGCAAAGUCUGCAUGCACGUGCAAAGUCCGCGUGCUUGCACCAGAUGCAGAAGAAAUAGGCAAGGGAACUGCGUGCCUGGUGCGUGCGUGGGUCCUGGGGGACUGUUGAGUGCUGACACUGGGAUGUGAUUCAGAUCCCGCUGGUCCACCUCCUGACCCAGUGAGGUUUCCGGAUCAUCUCGGAAGGGUUGUAGAUGCUGGGUUUGAGGGGUGGCAGCUAUGGCAAGGCCAGGGAUCUCUCCCCUCAGACUGGUGCAACGACCCUGCCCCUCCCCAGAGGCAGCCAGGAUGGCAGCACAGAUGGGCUGAACUCCGAUGGACGUGGGGGCAGUCAGAGGGCUGAGCAGGCUCUUGCUGCAGGUUGAAGGUAGCUCUUGGGGCGUGGAGCACGUGCGGACUAGGGUGAGGCAAGGACACCUUGUCCUCCCUUGAAGGUGUGAGCUAGUGUUUGUAUCUAGCGUUGCUAUGGUGAGGGUGGGCGGGGCUUAGUUUGACAGCCGGGAGCUCUUGCAAUGGCAAGAAUCCCUCAGCCCAUGGCCCCGCCCCUGAGCUGUCAGAGUUCUGUCUUCUGUCCUGCCUGGGCCUGGCCAGUCAGAAGGGGAACUGCUGGGGGGCAAGUUUCUUUCUUUUUUUUUUUUUUUUUAAAGAGAGAGUGGGGGAGAGAGAGAGAGAGAGAGAGAGAGAGAGAAUUUUUUUUUUAAUAUUUAUUUUUUAGUUCUGGGCUGACACAACAUCUUUGUUUGUACGUGGUGCUGAGGAUCGAACCCGGGCCGCACGCAUGCCAGGGGAGCGCGCUACCGCUUGAGCCACAUCCCCAGCCCCGAUGGGGGGGGCAGAAGGCCUUCUUCGGCUGCUCACGCAGCUUCAGGCGAAGUGGCUGUCAGACCUGUUGCCAGGGCGCGGCUGAGGAAGGAAUGAGUGGAGAACAGGCGAGCACGUGAGGAAAACCGUCAAUACUGGGCAAGAGGCAGGCUUGCGCCAGCAAAGGACGCGCGCGUGCAAAUUCCGCGUGCGUGUGCAAAGUCAGCAUGCACGUGCAAAGUCUGCAUGCACGUGCAAAGUCUGCAUGCACGUGCAAAGUCCGCGUGCUUGCACCAGAUGCAGAAGAAAUAGGCAAGGGAACUGCGUGCCUGGUGCGUGCGUGGGUCCUGGGGGACUGUUGAGUGCUGACACUGGGAUGUGAUUCAGAUCCCGCUGGUCCACCUCCUGACCCAGUGAGGUUUCCGGAUCAUCUCGGAAGGGUUGUAGAUGCUGGGUUUGAGGGGUGGCAGCUAUGGCAAGGCCAGGGAUCUCUCCCCUCAGACUGGUGCAACGACCCUGCCCCUCCCCAGAGGCAGCCAGGAUGGCAGCACAGAUGGGCUGAACUCCGAUGGACGUGGGGGCAGUCAGAGGGCUGAGCAGGCUCUUGCUGCAGGUUGAAGGUAGCUCUUGGGGCGUGGAGCACGUGCGGACUAGGGUGAGGCAAGGACACCUUGUCCUCCCUUGAAGGUGUGAGCUAGUGUUUGUAUCUAGCGUUGCUAUGGUGAGGGUGGGCGGGGCUUAGUUUGACAGCCGGGAGCUCUUGCAAUGGCAAGAAUCCCUCAGCCCAUGGCCCCGCCCCUGAGCUGUCAGAGUUCUGUCUUCUGUCCUGCCUGGGCCUGGCCAGUCAGAAGGGGAACUGCUGGGGGGCAAGUUUUUUUUUUUUUUUUUUUUUUUUUUUUAAAGAGAGAGUGGGGGGGAGAGAGAGAGAGAGAGAGAAUUUUUUUUUUAAUAUUUAUUUUUUAGUUCUGGGCUGACACAACAUCUUUGUUUGUACGUGGUGCUGAGGAUCGAACCCGGGCCGCACGCAUGCCAGGGGAGCGCGCUACCGCUUGAGCCACAUCCCCAGCCCCGAUGGGGGGGGGGGGCAGAAGGCCUUCUUCGGCUGCUCACGCAGCUUCAGGCGAAGUGGCUGUCAGACCUGUUGCCAGGGCGCGGCUGAGGAAGGAAUGAGUGGAGAACAGGCGAGCACUUCUGGGCUGACACAACAUCUUUGUUUGUACGUGGUGCUGAGGAUCGAACCCGGGCCGCACGCAUGCCAGGGGAGCGCGCUACCGCUUGAGCCACAUCCCCAGCCCCGAUGGGGGGGCAGAAGGCCUUCUUCGGCUGCUCACGCAGCUUCAGGCGAAGUGGCUGUCAGACCUGUUGCCAGGGCGCGGCUGAGGAAGGAAUGAGUGGAGAACAGGCGAGCACGUGAGGAAAACCGUCAAUACUGGGCAAGAGGCAGGCUUGCGCCAGCAAAGGACGCGCGCGUGCAAAUUCCGCGUGCGUGUGCAAAGUCAGCAUGCACGUGCAAAGUCUGCAUGCACGUGCAAAGUCUGCAUGCACGUGCAAAGUCCGCGUGCUUGCACCAGAUGCAGAAGAAAUAGGCAAGGGAACUGCGUGCCUGGUGCGUGCGUGGGUCCUGGGGGACUGUUGAGUGCUGACACUUGGAUGUGAUUCAGAUCCCGCUGGUCCACCUCCUGACCCAGUGAGGUUUCCGGAUCAUCUCGGAAGGGUUGUAGAUGCUGGGUUUGAGGGGUGGCAGCUAUGGCAAGGCCAGGGAUCUCUCCCCUCAGACUGGUGCAACGACCCUGCCCCUCCCCAGAGGCAGCCAGGAUGGCAGCACAGAUGGGCUGAACUCCGAUGGACGUGGGGGCAGUCAGAGGGCUGAGCAGGCUCUUGCUGCAGGUUGAAGGUAGCUCUUGGGGCGUGGAGCACGUGCGGACUAGGGUGAGGCAAGGACACCUUGUCCUCCCUUGAAGGUGUGAGCUAGUGUUUGUAUCUAGCGUUGCUAUGGUGAGGGUGGGCGGGGCUUAGUUUGACAGCCGGGAGCUCUUGCAAUGGCAAGAAUCCCUCAGCCCAUGGCCCCGCCCCUGAGCUGUCAGAGUUCUGUCUUCUGUCCUGCCUGGGCCUGGCCAGUCAGAAGGGGAACUGCUGGGGGGCAAGUUUCUUUUUUUUUUUUUUUUUUUUUUUUUUUAAAGAGAGAGUGGGGGAGAGAGAGAGAGAGAGAGAGAAUUUUUUUUUUAAUAUUUAUUUUUUAGUUCUGGGCUGACACAACAUCUUUGUUUGUACGUGGUGCUGAGGAUCGAACCCGGGCCGCACGCAUGCCAGGGGAGCGCGCUACCGCUUGAGCCACAUCCCCAGCCCCGAUGGGGGGUCAGAAGGCCUUCUUUGGCUGCUCACGCAGCUUCA